GGCCUGGGGGAUAGCUCAGUCGGUAGAGCACGAGACUCUUAAUCUCAGGGUUGUGGGUUCGAGAUCGACUUUGGCCA
rnacentral:tRNA from 1 species